rnacentral:rRNA from 1 species
UACGUAGGUGGCGAGCGUUGUCCGGAAUUACUGGGCGUAAAGGGCGCGUAGGCGGCCUGUUAAGUCGAACGUGAAAUCCCCGGGCUCAACCCGGGAACUGCGUCCGAUACUGGCAGGCUUGAAUCCGGGAGAGGGAUGCGGAAUUCCAGGUGUAGCGGUGAAAUGCGUAGAUAUCUGGAGGAACACCGGUGGCGAAGGCGGCAUCCUGGACCGGCAUUGACGCUGAGGCGCGAAAGCCAGGGAGCAAAGCGGG